AUUGAACGCUGGCGGCAGGCCUAACACAUGCAAGUCGAGCGGUAGAGAGGUGCUUGCAUCUCUUGAGAGCGGCGGACGGGUGAGUAAUGCCUAGGAAUCUGCCUAGUGGUGGGGGAUAACGUUCGGAAACGGACGCUAAUACCGCAUACGUCCUACGGGAGAAAGCGGGGGAUCUUCGGACCUCGCGCCAUUAGAUGAGCCUAGGUCGGAUUAGCUAGUUGGUGAGGUAAUGGCUCACCAAGGCGACGAUCCGUAACUGGUCUGAGAGGAUGAUCAGUCACACUGGAACUGAGACACGGUCCAGACUCCUACGGGAGGCAGCAGUGGGGAAUAAUUGGACAAUGGGCGAAAGCCUGAUCCAGCCAUGCCGCG
rnacentral:rRNA from 1 species